rnacentral:rRNA from 1 species
AUGAUGCCACCGCGCGCGCCAAUGGAGUGGCCGGCAGCAAGGCUCGUGGUCGUCCUCGUCACUUUGCACACGCUUUGGAGCAGCGCCGUUGCCGUUGCCGGUGCAUCGCCGCCAACGGUGGCGUCCGCGGCGCCGGUGCGGGUCGGCGUGGUGCUGGACCUGACGAGCGACGCGGGGAGGGAGAGGCGCGCCUGUACUUCCAUGGCGUUGGACAACUUCCACGCCGCUCACGCCGGCUCCGGUGCCGCGCGGAUCGAGCUGCUCGUACGAGACUCGCGCGGUGAUCUGACCACGGCCGCACAUGCUGCCGAGGACCUGAUCAAGAAUGGGCAAGUGCAAGCCAUCAUAUGGGGCCCUGCGACACUAACCAAAGCAGAUCAUGUCACACACCUGGGCCGUCGCCGCAACCAAGUCCCGGUUCUCUCCUUCCCCGGCAUUUCUCCAACAUCAUGUGCCUUCUCGCUGGAAGAUCCCGUAACAGUUCCUGGGGGCUAUGCCAAGUUUGGCUUUACACUUGGAAAGGACAGUAUCACCUUUCCUAAUCAAGAAACCGAUAGAAAAUACAAAAGAAAGCUAGGUACAAGCAAUAGUUGCAGAGGUAGGUGGCUGAAGAUUGCUGUGCCACGGAAAAAAGGUUUUCAAGAUUUUGUGAAUGUUACUGAUCCUAAUUCCAAGAAACAACAUGUCACUGGCUACAGCAUUGAUAUCUUCGAGGAUGCUAUGACACAUUUACAACCUGGCCCGUGCUAUAAAUAUGUUGCCUUCACGGGUACUUACGAUGAGCUAGUAGGCAACGUGGCUUCACGGGUGUAUGAUGGAGCAGUAGGCGAUGUGACCAUAACCGCGGAACGAAUCACCACCACCGACUUUACAGUGCCAUACACACAGUCUGGUGUGUCUAUGCUUGUGCUUGCCGUGGAUGAACCCUAUAGAAUCAGUUGGACAUUUGUAAAGGCACUAAAUGGGGAGCUUUGGCUUGCAAGCAUGGUCUUUUUCCUCUAUACUGGCUUUGUCGUGUGGAUGAUUGAACUACCCAGAAAUCAGGAGUACCAAGGAUCAAGUUUGAGACAGUGUAGCACAGCCCUCUACUUCGUUUUCUCCACUUUGACAUUUUCUCAUGGUCAUACUAUUAGAAGCCCCUUGUCAAAAAUUGUUGUGGUGAUAUGGUGCUUUGUAGUGCUGAUUCUUGUCCAGAGCUACACUGCAAGCUUGUCAUCCAUUCUGAAUACAAAGAGGCUACGUCCUUCGGUGACAGAUUUUGAGAUGCUCCGGAAGAGUGAUGACUUUGUAGGAUACCAAGAUGAAUCAUUUGUGCAGUCUUUCUUGCUUAAUCAUACCAUCAAUGAAAACAGGUUAAGGAACUACACGACGAAAGAACAAUAUGCUGAAGCUUUGAAGAAUGGAUCCAAGAAUGGAGGGGUAUCGGCUAUCGUUGAUGAGAUCCCCUAUUUAACUUAUUUCCUCUCUGACAAUCAGUACAGAAAUGAUUUUAUGAUGCUUGGGUACAUAUACAGGACUCCUGGAUUUGGUUUUGCAUUUCAACUAGGUUCUCCGCUAGUGCAUAAUCUUUCAACUGCUAUCCUGAAACUAGCAAGAGAAGAUGGGGGCUUACAAAUGGAAAAGAAAAGGUUUGGCGCAGCUUCACCUCUUGUGGGUGCUAGCAUGGUCCCUGAUACGGACUAUGUGGCUCUCACUUUGCAAAGCUUUUCCGGUCUCUUUCUCAUCACGGGAUCCAUUUCAACUCUCAUGCUGCUGAUAAGCAUUAUGAGGUUGAUUCAUGCCAGAUGCACUGAGUUGAGAAAGGCUGAUGUGGAAAGUGUCAUCUACAGUGCCACCGACGAUGAGUCCCGUCUGUUGCAGAAUGGCAUAGGUGACAACCCCAGCCCUGGUCUACAACCCUUCCAUGUAGAUGGCAUUGAAAAUUCCGGGGGUGUCCAUUUAAGCGGCGAGAAUGUUGGGGACGUGGAGCCUGACCCAGUGCAGCAGAAUGGCAUGCAUGGUGGCUCUGUCCCUGCAGGACACAUUCAGAUUGAGAUGCGCAAUGUCUAA